rnacentral:ncRNA from 156 species
UUGACCUCGGAUCAGGUAGGGAUACCC